CAGCCGCCGCGGGAAUACGGAGGGUGCUAGCGUUGUUCGGAAUCACUGGGCGUAAAGGGCGCGUAGGCGGCCUGUUAAGUCGGAUGUGAAAGCCCGGGGCUCAACCCCGGAACUGCAUCCGAGACUGGCAGGCUUGAGACCGGGAGAGGAGGGUGGAAUAUCCAGUGUAGAGGUGAAAUUCGUAGAUAUUGGAUGGAACACCGGUGGCGAAAGCGGCUCUCUGGCCCGGAUCUGACGCUGAGGCGCGAAAGCGUGGGGAGCAAACAGGAUUAGAUACCCCUGUAGUCCCUGUCUCUUAUAC
rnacentral:rRNA from 1 species